rnacentral:rRNA from 1 species
GGGUUGUGAGGUUAAGCGACUAAGCGUACACGGUGGAUGCCCUGGCAGUCAGAGGCGAUGAAGGGCGUGCUAAUCUGCGAUAAGCGCCGGUAAGGUGAUAUGAACCGUUAUAACCGGCGAUACCCGAAUGGGGAAACCCAGUGUGAUUCGUCACACUAUCAUUAACUGAAUCCAUAGGUUAAUGAGGCGAACCGGGGGAACUGAAACAUCUAAGUACCCGAGGAAAAGAAAUCAACCGAGAUUCCCCAGUAGCGGCGAGCGAACGGGGAGGAGCCCAGAGCCUGAAUCAGCAUGUGUGUUAGUGGAAGCGUCUGGAAAGGCGCGCGAUACAGGGUGACAGCCCCGUACACAAAAGCGCAUGUGCUGUGAGCUCGAUGAGUAGGGCGGGACACGUGGUAUCCUGUCUGAAUAUGGGGGGACCAUCCUCCAAGGCUAAAUACUCCUGACUGACCGAUAGUGAACCAGUACCGUGAGGGAAAGGCGAAAAGAACCCCGGCGAGGGAGUGAAAAGAACCUGAAACCGUGUACGUACAAGCAGUGGGAGCACAGGUUUACCUGUGUGACUGCGUACCUUUUGUAUAAUGGGUCAGCGACUUAUAUUCUGUAGCAAGGUUAACCGAAUAGGGGAGCCGGAGGGAAACCGAGUCUUAAUUGGGCGUUAAGUUGCAGGGUAUAGACCCGAAACCCGGUGAUCUAGCCAUGGGCAGGUUGAAGGUUGGGUAACACUAACUGGAGGACCGAACCGACUAAUGUUGAAAAAUUAGCGGAUGACCUGUGGCUGGGGGUGAAAGGCCAAUCAAACCGGGAGAUAGCUGGUUCUCCCCGAAAGCUAUUUAGGUAGCGCCUCGUGAACUCAUCUCCGGGGUAGAGCACUGUUUCGGCUAGGGGGCCAUCCCGGCUUACCAACCCGAUGCAAACUGCGAAUACCGGAGAAUGUUAUUACGGGAGACACACGGCGGGUGCUAACGUCCGUCGUGAAGAGGGAAACAACCCAGACCGCCAGCUAAGGUCCCAAAGUCAUGGUUAAGUGGGAAACGAUGUGGGAAGGCCCAGACAGCCAGGAUGUUGGCUUAGAAGCAGCCAUCAUUUAAAGAAAGCGUAAUAGCUCACUGGUCGAGUCGGCCUGCGCGGAAGAUGUAACGGGGCUAAACCAUGCACCGAAGCUGCGGCAGCGACGCUUAUGCGUUGUUGGGUAGGGGAGCGUUCUGUAAGCCUGUGAAGGUGGCCUGUGAGGGUUGCUGGAGGUAUCAGAAGUGCGAAUGCUGACAUAAGUAACGAUAAAGCGGGUGAAAAGCCCGCUCGCCGGAAGACCAAGGGUUCCUGUCCAACGUUAAUCGGGGCAGGGUGAGUCGACCCUAAGGCGAGGCCGAAAGGCGUAGUCGAUGGGAAACGGGUUAAUAUUCCCGUACUUGGUGUUACUGCGAAGGGGGACGGAGAAGGCUAUGUUGGCCGGGCGACGGUUGUCCCGGUUUAAGCGUGUAGGUGUGUGUUCCAGGUAAAUCCGGUUCACUUUAACACUGAGGCGUGACGACGAGGCACUACGGUGCUGAAGCAACAAAUGCCCUGCUUCCAGGAAAAGCCUCUAAGCAUCAGGUAACAUCAAAUCGUACCCCAAACCGACACAGGUGGUCAGGUAGAGAAUACCAAGGCGCUUGAGAGAACUCGGGUGAAGGAACUAGGCAAAAUGGUGCCGUAACUUCGGGAGAAGGCACGCUGACACGUAGGUGAAGUGAUUUACUCACGGAGCUGAAGUCAGUCGAAGAUACCAGCUGGCUGCAACUGUUUAUUAAAAACACAGCACUGUGCAAACACGAAAGUGGACGUAUACGGUGUGACGCCUGCCCGGUGCCGGAAGGUUAAUUGAUGGGGUCAGCGCAAGCGAAGCUCCUGAUCGAAGCCCCGGUAAACGGCGGCCGUAACUAUAACGGUCCUAAGGUAGCGAAAUUCCUUGUCGGGUAAGUUCCGACCUGCACGAAUGGCGUAAUGAUGGCCAGGCUGUCUCCACCCGAGACUCAGUGAAAUUGAACUCGCUGUGAAGAUGCAGUGUACCCGCGGCAAGACGGAAAGACCCCGUGAACCUUUACUAUAGCUUGACACUGAACAUUGAGCCUUGAUGUGUAGGAUAGGUGGGAGGCUUUGAAGUGUGGACGCCAGUCUGCAUGGAGCCGACCUUGAAAUACCACCCUUUAAUGUUUGAUGUUCUAACGUGGACCCGUAAUCCGGGUUGCGGACAGUGUCUGGUGGGUAGUUUGACUGGGGCGGUCUCCUCCUAAAGAGUAACGGAGGAGCACGAAGGUUGGCUAAUCCUGGUCGGACAUCAGGAGGUUAGUGCAAUGGCAUAAGCCAGCUUGACUGCGAGCGUGACGGCGCGAGCAGGUGCGAAAGCAGGUCAUAGUGAUCCGGUGGUUCUGAAUGGAAGGGCCAUCGCUCAACGGAUAAAAGGUACUCCGGGGAUAACAGGCUGAUACCGCCCAAGAGUUCAUAUCGACGGCGGUGUUUGGCACCUCGAUGUCGGCUCAUCACAUCCUGGGGCUGAAGUAGGUCCCAAGGGUAUGGCUGUUCGCCAUUUAAAGUGGUACGCGAGCUGGGUUUAGAACGUCGUGAGACAGUUCGGUCCCUAUCUGCCGUGGGCGCUGGAGAACUGAGGGGGGCUGCUCCUAGUACGAGAGGACCGGAGUGGACGCAUCACUGGUGUUCGGGUUGUCAUGCCAAUGGCACUGCCCGGUAGCUAAAUGCGGAAGAGAUAAGUGCUGAAAGCAUCUAAGCACGAAACUUGCCCCGAGAUGAGUUCUCCCUGAGACUUAGAGUCUCCUGAAGGAACGUUGAAGACGACGACGUUGAUAGGCCGGGUGUGUAAGCGCAGCGAUGCGUUGAGCUAACCGGUACUAAUGAACCGUGAGGCUUAACCUUACAACGCCGAAG